CGAGGGCUCCGCCUCCCCCGCGAUAGCUGCCGACGAGGGAUCUACCUCCCCUGCGAUAGCCGCCGACCAGUUCGCCCACCACCGGUGAACGACAGGAGCCUUUGAUGUAUAAUGUUGUUAGGAACCGGAUUUCGGCGGAAUUCCCGGUGGUGGGACUGGAUUGAUGAGGUCACUGAUAUCCCUGGUAUGUGAGGAGGCAUGAUGGUAUGACUCAGGACUUUAUGUUUAAUAUAGGUAUCAUUGCUUUUGAAGGACAGUUUCAUCGAAUCUUUUCCCUAUCGGGAUCAACCUUUUAUGAAGGUUUGUGAUUUCGAAGCUGGAAGUGAGACGAUAAGCAGGGGUUUGAGCUCACCACUGUUCUGGCAAGACUUGAGCAAAAUUAGUUCAAAUACUUGAGGCAAAAUAGCCAACAGAUACAUUCCUAUGACUAUUUGUUAUAAUUAGUUUCUUUGUCUUUAGUUGUUACAAAGUUGUAUGAGAAAUUUCAUUUUCAUAGUGAUGAUGAAAUCUUUUAAUA